rnacentral:rRNA from 1 species
GACCUCAAAUCAGGUAGGACUACCCGCUGAACUUAAGCAUAUCAAUAAGCGGAGGAAAAGAAACUAACAAGGAUUCCCCUAGUAACUGCGAGUGAAGCGGGAAGAGCUCAAAUUUUGAAUCUGGCAGUCUCUUGGCUGUCCGAGUUGUAAUCUAGAGAAGUGUUUUCCGCGCUGGACCGUGUAUAAGUCUCCUGGAAGGGAGCGUCGUAGAGGGUGAGAAUCCCGUCUUUGACACGGACUACCAGUGCUAUGUGAUGCGCUCUCGACGAGUCGAGUUGUUUGGGAAUGCAGCUCAAAAUGGGUGGUAAACUCCAUCUAAAGCUAAAUACAGGCGAGAGACCGAUAGCGAACAAGUACCGUGAGGGAAAGAUGAAAAGAACUUUGGAAAGAGAGUUAAACAGUACGUGAAAUUGCUGAAAGGGAAACGCUUGAUGUCAGUCGCGUUGGCUGGGGAUCAACCUUGCUUCUCGCUGGGUGUACUUCCCGGUCGACGGGUCAGCAUCAGUUUCGGUCGCCGUACAAGGGCGAGGGGAACGUGGCACUCUUCGGAGUGUGUUAUAGCCUUUCGUCGUAUGCGGUGGUCGGGACUGAGGAGCUCAGCACGGCUUUUUGCUUGUGCUCAGGAUGCUGGCAUAAUGGCCUUAAGCGACCCGUCU